GGCGCAUUGGCCUAAUGGCUAAGGCGUUGCUUUCCGGUUUAUAUACCCAAAUCUGGCAAAGACUCCAGGUUCGAGUCCUGGAUGCGUCG